CCCAUAGUGUCCCCCUCCCCUUGUCCCAUAGUGUCUCCCCCCCUCCCCUUGUCCCAUAGUGUCUCCUCCCCUCCCUUUCUCCCAUAGUGUCCCCCUCCCCUUGUCCCAUAGUGUCUCCUCCCCUCCCUUUCUCCCAUAGUGUCCCCCUCUCCUUGUCCCAUAGUGUCUCCUCCCCUCCCCUUGUCCCAUAGUGUCUCCCCCUCCCCUUG